rnacentral:piRNA from 1 species
UGCCCCACCUGUAAGCCUAACUGCAAAC